ACUUCUCCUAAAAGAACUGCAGGUGUGGCUGCUGUGUCACGUGUGCAUCAGUAGCUGGAAGAGAGGAGAGAGGUCAUGUCUACCUUCAAUGUCCUGCCCUAUAAACAUCAUUAUUAGUAGCCUAACAUU